CAUGGCAUCAGAACACAUUGGGACUGGCAGCUGCCUCCAGCACAAGGACUCAGAGUCGCAUCAUUGGAUUCCUGGACCCACUUGUGCCUGCUAUCAGCUUCCUGUUCCUGAGUGAGUCACUUAAUGUUUCUUAAAAAAAAGGUUUUUUAUUAUUUUAAAAAAAUUGACCGAUAUUUGACUUAUGAUACUGUGUUAGCACUUAAUCUUUCUGAGCUUAGUCUCCUUAGCUGGGAAAUGGGGUUCAUCACCACCAUGUGGGUCACAGUGAUGAGUAAAUGGGGCGGCACCAGGGAGAGAGGGUUAGGGAUUUGUCAGCAGCAGGUGGGUGCGGGGAGAAGGGGGUUAAGGAUGGGUCCGCCCUUGGCCUGUCCAUUGUCUUGGGGAGGAUUUUGGCUUCUCUGGGCUUCUGUUUCUUAACGUGUAGAAUGGGGUCAGCAUAGCAGCGAUGCAUAGUGUGGAGAGGGAUGAAAAGAAUUGCACGUUCAAGCACGGACAGCAGCGCCCAACACGCAGUGAACUCAGGCCCGGCAUGGAUGGUGGGCCUUGCAUGGGGCGACAUCCCUGCCCUACAGACAGUGCUCUUAUUAUGCUGUCUGCGUUGGGGCCAAGUGGUAAACUACUAGGUGUUUGGUUGCAGCAAGAGAGUGCAGGAGAGGUGGAGCGAGCAGCCCAGGAUUUAGGUCACAGCGAAAGGCAAGGCCCAGCCUGGAUGCAGGCUCUGGCUCUCUCUGGUGGAGGGUCCAGGAGGAGAGUCUUUAUCUGCACAAGAAGAUGGAUGGAACCUCCUCUGGUCCUUCCAGUCACCAACAAGAGGAAGCUGAAUGAGGACACGGGAUGCUGGUGAGGGGGACGGGUUCUCCUCCUCAUUAUACCAUAAAUUAGCUGUGUGACCUUGGGCAAGUCACAUCUCCUCUCUGGUCCACUCAGUGUCUCCAUUUGUAAUAUUAGAGAAUGGGAUGGAACCAUCCCUAGCAUCUCUCCCUUUUCCUUCAUUCCAUGAUUUUCUAGGUACCAUUUCUUUAUUUCUUAUUCAUAUACAAUCUUGUUCCAAAUUGCAGCUCUGCCUCCCAGCUAGAAUGCACAUUCCUGGAGGCCAAGCAUCCUCCUUGGAAGAGUCUAGCAGGUGACCCACACAGGUGGGGGGGUCGGAGGCUAGGGCUGUGUGAAAUAACAGCAAAUAUACCUAUUGGUCUCUGACCCUGAUUCCUGAGCUCUUAAAUCCCUUGGAGUUUCCUAGGUGAUACGAGUGUCUUUUGUCUUAGUGAGAGGACUGUGGGUGGGCUCCUGGAGAGCUUUGGGAUGGGGGCUGGUCACCAGAAAGACCACACGUGAUUAGAAGCAUGGAUCUUUCCCCCUUACUACUCAUCCUCUGGGGAGGGGAAAGGGCUGGAGACCGAGUUAGUGACUGAUCAUGCCUAUGUGAUGAAGCCUCCGUGAAAACCUGGAGAGCUUCUGGGUUGCUGAACAUACCCUGGUGCGGGGUGGGUGGUGCGUACCGGCUCCGUGGGGACGGAAGCUCCUAUGCUCCGGACCCUUUGCCCUGUGUAUCUUUUCCUCUGGCUGUUCAGCUGUAUUCUUUGUAACAACUUGGUCAACCCAAGUGUUUCCCUGGAUUCUGUGCACCACUGUAAUCAAUGAUUGAAUUCAGGAAGGACCUCGUGGGAACCCCAACAUGUAGCCAAUUGGUCAGAAGCACAUGUGAUAAUUGGCAUUUGAAGUGGGGCCAGUUUUGUGGAACUGAUCCCCUAACUUGUAGGCUCUGACGCUAAGCCCAGGUAGCAGUGUUGGAGCUGAAUGAAAUUGAGGGACACCCAUCUGGCCUCAGAGAAUUGCGUGGUGUGUGGGAAAUCCACACAGCCGGUCUCAGCAGCGUUGAGAGCGUGGUAGCAGGGGGAACAGUGGAGGAGGAACACCGGAGUCGUUUUCCAAUUCCGAUUGCACGGCAGUAAAAUCAGGGUUGCUCCUGGGGGUGGAAAUAGGGUGAGGGGAGACAUGGUUCACCCCCUCCCUCAGCUUCUUAGAGGAGAACCUAUCUUAAUUACUGGAAACACCCCAGAUCACACAAAGGUACAUGAAAAUAGCUUUUAAAAUUCUACUUGUCUUUGGCAAUGCUAAGAUCAGGACAUUUCCAUCAAGAUCCGUGAUAAAAAGAAACCAAAGCUCGGCACUUUGCCAGGACUCAGCUCAGGAUGCCGCCUCACCUCCAUCGUUCCACCAUGGGUUGCCUAGAGGGGGUUCCACGCCUUUUGCACAAGAGUGGUGUUUACACAGAUUCCUCUACCACGUUGCUGCUCUGGGUGCACAGUAUUCUUUUUCUCCCUCACUGGUUCCGUGCAUCCAGCUUUAGCUGUCCGUGGUUUCUCUCCUUCUCCAUUGGUUUGAAAACAGUGUCAAAGCAAAUAUCCUUUAUCUUAUUGGGACUCCCUCGGGGGUUCCCCAUGAUUCCAAGAGUCUUUUUCUCUCUGCUCUUCUUUCUCUUUCCUCCUUGCUGUGCUUACCCUCGCUGGAAUCAGCUGUCACGGGGCAGGUCACAUGGGCAUCCGUUACUUGGCAGGGUUAGAUAUCAGCCUUGCCUUGGAAGGCAGUGGCACUGAGGACCACCUGUGGUGGCACAUGGCCACUUGCCCCUCAUCCCUCCCACCCAAUAUUUAAGAGAGAUUGAGUUUAUGGGGAAAAGAAGGAAGGAGAUAUUUGAGAGGAGGUGCUUCUCGAUGUGGGGAAGGUCAUGGCCAGAGACUCAGAGGAUUUGUAUUCCAUUCUGCCCCUAGCUUGCCAAAGGCCAUGGAUAAGUCUCUUGAGCACCGGGGUCUCAGUUUCCUCAUAUGCAAAAUUAAGACACUGAGAUAAGAAAAUCAUGAGGUUCAUUUCAUUUCUAAAGGAGAAGAGGCAUGACCGGCUCUGAAGCCCCUGCUUGGGGCCAGUUCCCAUCCAAGUGCUUUGUAAACCCUCCGUUCAUCGUCAGGAUUAUCCUCUGAGGAAGGCAUAUCCGCCUCAUUUUUACCAAUGGGACGGCCAAGGUUCUGAGAGAUUAAUCCCUGUCCUGUGGACACAUUUCUAAAGCCAGAGACCGCAUCUAGCUUUUCCUCACUCCAGAGCCUGUUUUUCUAGCUCCAGAGAUUUUUCUAAUUCGACCCUCUUAAAAAAAAAUGAGAAUGGUGUUCCCCUCAGAGAAGUGUCUUUUCCUGCCUCCAUUUGUACAAUGUGUUCCACGUCGUGGAGAACUCUUCUUUCCAGAAAUUUCCAAAGGACAAGGGAUGCAUCAUGUCUUCAGUUUUUGGCAGCUUCGCACAACAACCUGAACAGACUCUUGGCUUCCAGCUCCCAGGAUGGCAUUUCGAGUACGCGUGGUCAUGGCGUGCCUGUGGUUUAAAUUUUAAUGGAGGACGCUUACCCGCAUCUGUCUUUAUUGGCUCUCGCCCCGUCCCUGGUUUCCUGGAGGUCACGGGCUCUGCAGGCCCCCCCACCUCCACUCAUCCCCUCUUGCAGCUGGGAGGGGCUGUGUCCCUCCUCCCUUACUGUAAGCCACAGGCUCCACUGGGCCUUUCAAGCUCGCUGGCAGUUUGGAUGUCAGUAGCAGGGAAAAUCAAGCUUAAGAUUUGACAACAAUACAAAGUCAACCUGUUCUCUCUCUCUCUUUUUUUUAAUGGGAAUUUAAUUUUUAUUUAUUUAAAAUUUUUUUAAAUUUUUUAUUUUCUCUGCUGUACAGCAUGGGGACCAAGUUAUACAUACAUGUAUACAUAAUUUUUCCUUCCAUUGUUGUGUUGCGAUGUAAGUAUCUAGACAUAGUUCUCAAUGCUACACAGCAGGAUCUCAUUGUAAAUCCAUUCCAAGAGCAAUACUUGGCAUCCGUUAACCCCAAGCUCCCGAUCCCUCCCACUCCCUCCCUCUCCCCCCUGCUCUCUUUUCAUCCCAGAUAGAAUUGAAAAGCAGAGUUCUUAAUGGGACACUCCCCCAAGGAAGGGAGAGACAGUUGGUCUGGGAGCCACAGUGGUUGGUGGGGGCACACGGGGCCAGAAGCUGGUGAGCUUGGGCUCUGGUGUUGGCAUGGAAGCCAACUAGCUGUUGACCUUGGGCAAGGCUCACCCUCUCUGAGCUUUAAAUUUCCUCCUGCGUGAAGAAAUGAUUGCUCAGGCUAGAAAUAGUCAGAUUUAGGAACUGUGCUCUCUUAAACACAGAAUCAGCUUGUGGGGAUGUUUCUAUACCCCAUGAAAACUUUGGGAAGAGCCAGGGCUUUUUGAGGGGAGGGGUCAGAAGAGCAAGGAGGGACCCUGGAGACCAGGGGAGGAGGUCCAGGAGAAGGAACCAACUCUGUUUGUAGGACCUACAGAAGGCUGAGUGUGCCUGGUCACUGUGCUGGGCUCAAGGGUUGAAAUCCAGACGUGCUGAGAACCUGAAGGGGCAAACAGGUGCCUGCAACAUGGGCGAAUCCAGGUUUCCAUUCCUAGGAGCCUCUAGUUUGAUGCUCGGCAGAGGAUCUGGGCUCAGUCACCACCAGACUCAUACCUGUUGUGUGGCCUCAGCCCCCUCAGCAUCUGCUUGUGUCCCCACACAGUACGAGUCUGUGGAAUAAAUCAACUGGGCAGAAGUCUGUUUCCAAAUGGGGGUGUCUCUUCAGGCACCUCCAGGAUGGCUUCCUUUGACUCAGAGCCUGGACUGGCUGGAGGGAGCAGGCAGAACUGACAGGGAGGCGUGGGCUGGAGUAGGUGUGGUGUCAGGUCACCAGCUGCCAUGCUGGGCACAGGACAGGCAUCUGGGUCCAGAAGUGUGUUGGAAGAUGAAACAGGAAACUGAGGCAAAAGCUCUGUUGUAGGUUUGGCCAUGCAGGAGAAGAAUGUCAUCCCUGGAAACAGGCAAGCACAUCUAAACACCCACAGAAGAAACCUCACUUCAUUUCUGAGAGUCAUUCCCUAGAGAAAGCUGCCGUGCUACAUUUUGACCCAGAGGGUCUCACUUAUUUUAUACGAUUAUUAGCAGAUUGAAGUUUUCUGGGAGACCCCAACUGACAUGGUAGCUGCUGGUUUGAGAGAAAGAGCUCCUCCCUAAUCUCAGAAGAAUUUUUGGAAUGACUUAGAAACAAACAAAGCGGGAGUUCCCGUCGUGGCGCAGUGGUUAACGAAUCUGACUAGGAACCAUGAGGUUGCAGGUUCGGUCCCUGCCCUUGCUCAGUGGGUUAACGAUCCGGCGUUGCCGUGAGCUGUGGUGUAGGUUGCAGACGCGGCUCGGAUCCUGCGUUGCUGUGGCUCUGGCGUAGGCCGGUGGCUACAGCUCCGAUUCAACCCCUAGCCUGGGAACCUCCAUAUGCCGCGGGAGCGGCCCAAGAAAUAGCAAAAAAAGACAAAAAAAAAAAAAAAAAAGAAACAAACAAAGCGAAUGUCACCAGGACCUCUGUAUGUAGAGGCAUUUAAUUACACACGAUAUCUGGGAAUUCUAGAUUACGUCAUCUUAUGGGAGAUAGUCUCUCAGGUGGAAAGUUCCACGGUGGGCCAUCCUUGAAAACAGGUGUGAUUCAUGAACUUUCUCUUAGAGUGCCAUGAUCUUCACAUCCAGAAAGAGCCAUCUCAAGUCAUAAUUUUCUUUGAAUUUUUUUCCAUUGAAUGAUUUCUGCCUGGCUCAGACCUUUGAAGAUCUCAUACUAAAGAAACAAUGUUUUCUUUAUAAGGAUGUUUAAGUAUGAUACAAAACUUAGAAGCCACGAAAGAUGAUAAUAAAUUCAGUUCCAUUAAAAUGGACUUAUCUUGGGAGUUCCUGUUGUGGCUCAGUGGAAAUGAAUCUGACCAGUAUCCAUGAUGAUGCAGCUUCAAACCCUGGCCUCACUCAGUGGGUUAAGGAUCUGGCAUGGCUGUGAGCUGUGGUGUAGGUCGCAGACGCGGCUUGGAUCCCGUGUUGCUGUGGCUGUGGCAUAGGCUGGCAGCUGCAGCUCUGAUUUGACCUCUAGCUUGGGAACUUCCAUAUACCACUGGUUCGGCCCUAAAAAGCAAUACAAUACAAUAAGAUAAAAUAACUCAGCUAAAUGUACCAUAAACAAAAUCAAAAGACAAACAGCAAACUGGAAAGAUGUUUGCAGGCUAUGUCACAGAGGAAGGGCUUGAUUCCCUAAUAUUUAAAGAGAUCCUGCAGGAGUUCCCAUCGUGGCUCAGCGGUUAGUGAACCUGACUAGCAUCCAUGAGGAUGCGGUUCGAUCCCUGGCCUCGCUCAAUGGGUUAAGGAUCCAGCAUUGCCAUGACCUGUGGUGUAGGUUGCAGAUGCAGCUUGGAUCCUCAGUUGCUGUGCCUCUGGUGUAGGCUGGCGGCUACAGCUCCGACUGGACCCCUAGCCCGGGAACCUCCACAUGCCCUGGGUGUGGCCCUAAAAAGAUAGAAA
rnacentral:lncRNA from 1 species